rnacentral:rRNA from 1 species
UAGGGAAUAUUAGUAAUGGGCGAAAGCCUGAACUAGCAACGCCGCGUGUGCGAAGAAGGCCUUCGGGUUGUAAAGCACUUUUUGAGAGGAUGAGGAAGGACGGUACUCUCAGAAUAAGUCUCGGCUAACUACGUGCCAGCAGCCGCGGUAACACGUAGGAGGCGAACGUUAUCCGGAUUUACUGGGCGUAAAGCGCGUGUAGGUGGUUUGGUAAGUAGGGCGUGAAAGCUCCUGGCUCAACUGGGAGAGGCCGUUCU